rnacentral:rRNA from 1 species
AGUGAACGCUGGCGGUAGGCCUAACACAUGCAAGUCGAACGGCAGCACAGUAAGAGCUUGCUCUUACGGGAGGCGAGUGGCGGACGGGUGAGGAAUACAUCGGAAUCUACUUUUUCGUGGGGGAUAACGUAGGGAAACUUACGCUAAUACCGCAUACGACCUACGGGUGAAAGCAGGGGAUCUUCGGACCUUGCGCGAUUGAAUGAGCCGAUGUCGGAUUAGCUAGUUGGCGGGGUAAAGGCCCACCAAGGCGACGAUCCGUAGCUGGUCUGAGAGGAUGAUCAGCCACACUGGAACUGAGACACGGUCCAGACUCCUACGGGAGGCAGCAGUGGGGAAUAUUGGACAAUGGGCGCAAGCCUGAUCCAGCCAUACCGCGUGAGUGAAGAAGGCCUUCGGGUUGUAAAGCCCUUUUGUUGGGAAAGAAAAGCAGCAGGUUAAUACCCCGCUGUUCUGACGGUACCCAAAGAAUAAGCACCGGCUAACUUCGUG